rfam:Glarea lozoyensis 74030 unplaced genomic scaffold M7I_scaffold41, whole genome shotgun sequence.
GGACAGAUGGCCGAGCGGUUAAGGCGGUAGACUCAAGCGUGCUUGCACAGUUUGGCAGACUUAGUCUGCUCGUAUUCUACUAGAGAAAUCUGCGGGGGUUCGAAUCCCCCUCUGUUCA